CGUUGUUCAGAGGGUCAGGGAGGCACUGUCAGACUCUGUGAAGAACGGCUUUAAUUGGUCAGCCAGAAGAGAAUUCCUGGAAUCUGUGGAGGUGAAACUGGAUCUCCUGUUGUGUAGAAACUUCUACACUGGAAGUUGAUACAGGAAUCGAGGAGUUUGAAAAUAUUUCAAAGCUGGAAGAUUCUCGGUUAUCCAAGAACAGAUCCAGGCUCUCUAAGGUCAAGACACCAAAGCUCAGAUUUAAGAAACAGAGAAACGGGGAGGAACCCAUGACUGUCCUAUGAGAAGGAGAUUGAGGAGAAUCCUGUUCCAACUGGUUAAUUACUCUCCAAGGAUCGACUAGACCAGGGGUCGGCAACCUUUAACACCC